AAAAGGCUUGAUCCAAUAAUCAUUUGGGUCGUCCAACACCAAGGCCCAUUAGGUACAUGGCAAGAUGACUCAAUAAAGGUUGAAGUUAUGGUCCAUCGAGGUGACCACGUCGUCGGGCCAAGUGAUACAACACAGAAUCUGACCUCAUGCACCACAUAAAAUGUAGCACCUUGGAGCGGUAAACAAGAUAAGAUGGCAAGUUUUGCGAUAUACUAGCUAGGAACGACCUUGUUCCACUUGACACAAUUUAACACUUAUAGUGGAUCUAAGCUUUGUUAAAUUGAUGGCAAAUAUCAGAUUUUGGACUAAUGAGUGGUUUGGGAGACCAUUGAUUCAAUUGUUGAACAUUCCUUGGAAUUUGGCUUGAACUUUGGAUUCUAAAGCUCAAGAGAUGAUGAAUGAUGGAAGUGUCAUGGUUCUCUUAAUUAUGCAACAUAGUUUCCCUGUAAUUUCUCAUCAAAUUGAUAAUGUUAUCAUUCUGAUAGAAGACCAAAUAAGUUGUUUGAUCUGGAAACAUAAUAUUGAUGGUUCUCUUAAUGAUAAAUUCGCUUUCUUGCAUCUCAAGCAACAUGCCAAUCCAGUUAACUCGGAAAAACUAUCUGGCAAAAUUACAUUCAUCCUUCUCACUUAAUCAUGUUUUGGAGAUUCAGU
rnacentral:lncRNA from 1 species